rnacentral:rRNA from 1 species
GAUGAACGCUGGCGGCGUGCCUAAUACAUGCAAGUCGAGCGAAUGGAUUAAGAGCUUGCUCUUAUGAAGUUAGCGGCGGACGGGUGAGUAACACGUGGGUAACCUGCCCAUAAGACUGGGAUAACUCCGGGAAACCGGGGCUAAUACCGGAUAAUAUUUUGAACUGCAUGGUUCAAAAUUGAAAGGCGGCUUCGGCUGUCACUUAUGGAUGGACCCGCGUCGCAUUAGCUAGUUGGUGAGGUAACGGCUCACCAAGGCAACGAUGCGUAGCCGACCUGAGAGGGUGAUCGGCCACACGGGGACAGAGACACGGCCCAGACUCCUACGGGAGGCAGCAGUAGGGAAUCUUCCGCAAUGGACGAAAGUCUGACGGAGCAACGCCGCGUGAGUGAUGAAGGCUUUCGGGUCGUAAAACUCUGUUGUUAGGGAAGGACAAGUGCUAGUUGAAUAAGCUGGCACCUUGACGGUACCUAACCAGAAAGCCACGGCUAACUACGUGCCAGCCGCCGCAGUAA